AUUGAACGCUGGGCGGCAGAGCUUUACACAUGCAAGUCGAACGGUANCAGGAGAAAGCUUGCUUUCUUGNUGACGAGUGGGCGGACGGGUGAGUAAUGCUNGGGAAUCUGGCUUAUGGAGGGGGAUAACGACGGGAANCUGUCGCUAAUNCCGCGUAUUAUCGGAAGAUGAAAGUGCGGGACUGAGAGGCCGCAUGCCAUAGGAUGAGCCCAAGUGGGAUUAGGUAGUUGGUGGGGUAAAUGCCUACCAAGCCUGCGAUCUCUAGCUGGUCUGAGAGGAUGACCAGCCACACUGGAACUGAGACACGGUCCAGACUCCUACGGGAGGCAGCAGUGGGGAAUAUUGCGCAAUGGGGGGAACCCUGACGCAGCCAUGCCGCGUGGAUGAAGAAGGCCUUCGGGUUGUAAAGUUCUUUCGGUAUUGAGGAAGGUUGAUGUGUUAAUAGCACAUCAAAUUGACGUUAAAUACAGAAGAAGCACCGGCUAACUCCGUGCCAGCAGCCGCGGUAAUACGGAGGGUGCGAGCGUUAAUCGGAAUAACUGGGCGUAAAGGGCACGCAGGCGGUUAUUUAAGUGAGGUGUGAAAGCCCUGGGCUUAACCUAGGAAUCGCAUUUCAGACUGGGUAACUAGAGUACUUUAGGGAGGGGUAGAAUUCCACGUGUAGCGGUGAAAUGCGUAGAGAUGUGGAGGAAUACCGAAGGCGAAGGCAGCCCCUUGGGAAUGUACUGACGCUCAUGUGCGAAAGCGUGGGGAGCAAACAGG
rnacentral:rRNA from 1 species